GACGAACGCUGGCGGCGUGCCUAAUACAUGCAAGUAGGACGCAGUUGCGAACGGGUGAGUAACGCGUAGGUAACUACCUAUUAGAGGGGGAUAACUAUUGGAAACGAUAGCUAAUACCGCAUACUAGUAGAUGUACCUGCGUUGUAUUAGCUAGUAGGUAGGGUAAUGGCCUACCUAGGCAACGAUACAUAGCCGAGCUGGGAGGGGGAUCGGCCAAACAUGGAAUUGGAAAAGGCCCAGGAGCCUACGGGAGGGAGAAGGAGGGAAAUUUGGGAAAUGGGGGGAACCCUGAACGAGCAAAGCCGCGUGAGUGAAGAAGGUUUUCGGAUCGGAAAGCUAUGUUGUUAAGGAAGCGGUACUUAACCAGAAAGGGACGGCUAACUACGUGCCAGCAGCCGCGGUAAUUC
rnacentral:rRNA from 1 species